CUGCAAAUGAAUGAGUACUCACCCCCUACCCCACCCUUUUUAAUGCCUGCGACAGCAAGCAGAAAACGAUGUCUGCAGAAGGACCCUCCGGGAGAUAGGCGGGGAAGGUAGGUUGGUCAAGACGCACAGGGAGAUGUCAUGCUCGUAGGCUGAAGCAUUUCAGUACCUUGGACAGAGCUCGGCGCUCUUCAUUGGGUGCUCUGUCUAAGGUGCUGAAAAGCUUGUUCCAGCUUGCAUCGCCUUCUGCCUUUCCUUGGCUCACUCGGCAAAGAAGCGCGUCACAACCGCAGAAUGCACGGAGCUAGCCAAUCAGUUAGAGGUGGCAGAAAGUCCAGGUGUGUGUCCUGAACUGCUCCUUUGGCCUUUGGAAUUCCUACCCAAAGAUAUUGGGAAUCACGCCUUGCAUGAUCAAAUGCAACCUCCAUCCAAGGAAGCUGCUGGAGACACAUUAAUGAAAGUAAUAAAAGGAUUGGUCAUCACCUUUAUGGCUUGCUUAUGAGGUAUCCAGCUGGCCUCCAGAUGAAGCUUGUUUUUGCAAUACGGGAGCAGGCCUGAUUCCCAAUAGCUUGAGGUCACAUGAGAGAAGUUUAAUUUCUACCUAAGUGGUGUCCUUGAGUGCACCCCUUUAGUUUCUUCCAUACAGGGAAAGUCUUACUAUUCACGGCAAGGGCAGGAGAAGCAGUGCACUGCAAGUGUGGCUAUUUUUUUUCUGUGUAGGAAAGCCAUUCCUGGUCUUCAGGUGGUGAGUCAGGAGACCAACUACUGGGUCACAGCCUGAACCAAGGUGGGUUGCAACAGCAACACUGCCACCAUAGAGCUAUAUGAGAGGGAAAGAAAGAAAGAAAGAAAGAAAGAAAGAAAGAAAGAAAGAAAGAAAGAAAGAAAGAAAGAAAGAGGUUCCUAGAUGCAUGUGUGGGUCUCAGUUCUGAAAAGUAGAAAAUUACUAGCCUAGAUCUUGCUGAUAGGUAUUGUAUGGG
rnacentral:lncRNA from 1 species